GUCUCUCUCUCUAUAUAAACCCUACGAACUUCUCCUUGCUUCCCCAUCAAGUCACAGCUGUUUACCCUCUCCUAUGUACUGAUCAAGAGCAUAAAAAAAAGGCUCAAGAAUGAGGUUCCUGGCACUUGCUCUAGCUUUGAUGAUGGUGAGCUCUUGCAUGGCCGCAAACAUGAAAACUUUUAUGGUGGGAAUGCAAGAGAGGCAACUUGUUGAGACGAGCUAUGAAGAAGACAAAGGUGUGAACAACCACCAUACCAUCCCUAGGCAGGACUUCAAUAACUAUGGUGGCAGUGGCUCCAAAGGGGGCGGGGGCGAUGGCGAUGGUGGCAAGAAAAACUAGUAUGUCUUUACUAGCUAGUAUGUCUUAGUCAUUAUAGUUGGGGUGAUUGUGAUCAUAUGCGAGUAGAGAGAAUAUGAUAAUGGUUUGUGUUUUGGGCUUUGGAAGUGUUGCUGUAAUGUAUUAAUUAUGGGUCCUCCUAGGAUUACUAAGAGCUUGACAGUAAUUAUGAAAUGAAAUAUUGGGUUUUAUUGUA